GACGAACGCUGGCGGCGUGCCUAAUACAUGCAAGUAGAACGCAGUUGCGAACGGGUGAGUAACGCGUAGGUAACUGCCUGGUAGCGGGGGAGAACAAUUGGAAACAAUAGCUAAUACCGCAGACUACCAGAUGGACCUGCGUUGUAUUAGCUAGUUGGGGGGGUAAAGGCGCACCAAGGCAACGAUACAUAGCCGACCUGAGGGGGGGGUCGGCCACACUGGGACUGAGACACGGCCCCGACUCCUACGGGAGGCAGCAGUAGGGAAUCUUCGGCAAUGGACGGAAGUCUGACCGAGCAACGCCGCGUGAUUGAAGAAGGUUUUCGGAUCGUAAAGCUCUGUUGUAAGAGAAGCGGUAUCUGACCAAAAAGGGACGGCUAACUACGUGCCAGCAGCCGCGGUAAUUC
rnacentral:rRNA from 1 species